CCGAGUUAAAUUUGCUCAAGCCUGUCUUUUUAACUUUUAUCUCCUUCAGUAUCUUUCACUGUCAUUCAAUAUUUUUUGCUCAGAUGGUUGCAAGUAUUUUCCUAUGCUCUGAAAUAUUCUUCUAAAGCAGGAUUUUUUCAUGGCUAUAUAAUAUCCGUAAUUAUUUAACCCCACCUGCCAUUGUUGACAUUUAGGUUAACAUCCUUAUACCUGAAUCUUUGUUUUGCAGAUUUCCUUAGACUAAAUUUCUAAAUGCAGGCUCACUACUCCAAGAAUGUGAAUAGAAGGCUUUUGGUUCUUAUUACCACAUUGACUUAUGAAGAGUUCUACAGUCCAUACUCCCACCAUUAAUGAUGUCUUAGUUUUCUCUCGUCAUCUUGACCACCAAGUAUUAUUAUAUUAAGUUCAAUGUUUUUGUGCCUUUCUUAAACUCGUUCUUUACCAUUGGUGUUUUCGUGUCAUUGUUAAGCCCAUGGUUGACUAUAAUUUAGAAAUGUGGUCUUACAGCACUCGAUACUAACCGAGCUAUCUGCAUCCUAGCUUUGUGUCAAAGGCUUGUGAUGUGUUGUGAUAGCUGGGUUGAAGAAGUGCAAUAUUAAAACAAAAGCCGUGAGUCUUUAAGCCCAGUGUGUAAAGACACACUCUGAGUUAUAACUCAGUGGCACAACUGGAAA